rnacentral:rRNA from 1 species
AGUGAACGCUGGCGGUAGGCCUAACACAUGCAAGUCGAACGGCAGCACAGUAAGAGCUUGCUCUUACGGGUGGUGAGUGGCGGACGGGUGAGGAAUACAUCGGAAUCUACUUUUUCGUGGGGGAUAACGUAGGGAAACUUACGCUAAUACCGCAUACGACCUACGGGUGAAAGCAGGGGAUCUUCGGACCUUGCGCGAUUGAAUGAGCCGAUGUCGGAUUAGCUAGUUGGCGGGGUAAAGGCCCACCAAGGCGACGAUCCGUAGCUGGUCUGAGAGGAUGAUCGGCCACACUGGAACUGAGACACGGUCCAGACUCCUACGGGAGGCAGCAGUGGGGAAUAUUGGACAAUGGGCGCAAGCCUGAUCCAGCCAUACCGCGUGGGUGAAGAAGGCCUUCGGGUUGUAAAGCCCUUUUGUUGGGAAAGAAAAGCAGCAGGUUAAUACCCCGCUGUUCUGACGGUACCCAAAGAAUAAGCACCGGCUAACUUCGUG